CCUGGCUCAGGAUGAACGCUAGCGGCAGGCCUAAUACAUGCAAGUCAAGGGGUAGCAAUACACCGGCGGACGGGUGCGUAACGCGUACACAACGUACCUCAGAGGCGGGGGAUAGCAUUGGGAAACUGGUGGUAAUACCCCAUGGUGUUUGUUGAAUGGCAUCAUUUAACAACUAAAGAUUACACUCUGAGAUCGGUGUGCGUCUGAUUAGCUAGUUGGUGGGGUAACGGCCCACCAAGGCGACGAUCAGGUAGGGGGUGUGAGAGCAUGACCCCCCACACGGGUACUGAGACACGGACCCGACUCCUACGGGAGGCAGCAGUAAGGAAUAUUGGACAAUGGGCGGAAGCCUGAUCCAGCCAUGCCGCGUGUAGGACGAAUGCCCUCUGGGUUGUAAACUACUUUUAUUGGGGAAGAAACCCUCUUACGUGUAAGAGGCUGACGGUACCCAAGGAAUAAGGACCGGCUAACUCCGUG
rnacentral:rRNA from 1 species